rnacentral:lncRNA from 1 species
GGAAAAACUGUCCCGAGAAGGUGCUGGCGAGCGACCGUGGCUUUUGCCAGGGCCGGGGAGGCUGGUAAUGUGCUGGUCCGUCAGUGCCGAGCGAAGGAGCAGAAAGGUGGGGAGGCGGAUGGGCGGCACAGGGCGGCCGCGGUGCCCGGCGGGCAGGAGGAGCCGAAGCCCCGAGGGCCGGCACGCGGCUCGGCUCCCAGCCCCGUGGCACGGGACGGAAGCAGCAGCCUCCGACAAACCAACCUUGCGUGUUUCUGUGCUGCGCAGAGAUGCAGCCCUGCAUCCUCGGCUCGAGAGCCAGCAGAAACUCUUGGAUCAUCUGUGCGUGCCGGCUGAGCCUCGCCAUGCCGCCCCGGCUGCCUUCACCUAAAGCAGCCCCAGGGAAGGCGCCAGCCCCAGUGAGAUGCCGCGCACGUCUUGUAUGGAAGAAAAUUGUGGCAGCAAGUAAUGCACCUGAUCYGAUUUUUUUUUUCAUUUAGCAAAGUUACGAAUUUCUCCGAGACGUUAAAGAAAACGCCUGAGUGCCCUCCUGCUCCCGCCAGGCGCCAGCGACCCUGCACACCGCGUGYGCAGAAAGGCAAACCAGCAGGGCCAGAUGGCUACGGAGCCGCAUUUUACAGGCUUGUAGCUCCAUCCCUCAAGCUCAGUGGGUUUGUCAGAAAUGCUUAAUCACAGCCUGAGUAGGCUAACAAACAAACAAAAAAAAAGAUCGUAUUCUUUCCUCAUGCACUGAAGCAUAUAGAGGACUUCUGGAGGCCAUAUGCAAAAAGAAAAAAGAAAAAAAAAGAAAAAAAAGGUUUGAAACCUGGGUUUGCACUCUUAUUGCUGAAAUUCCUACCGACCUGGUAGUUUCCCGACACCGUCCUUCUAAAACGUGAUGCGAGACCUCUGCGUUGUGUGGGCGAAGGACGUAGUGGAGGGGAGCAUCACCUGGGCUAUUCUCAUCUCACCGCUUUGUCUGYUCUGCUCCCGGGGGAAAUAUUAAAGCUGGUUUAACCGCCAGCCGCCUGCAGAGAGCACCGAGAUGGCCUCUCCGGCGGCAGACGCCGGUGUGGGGAGACCCUGCACCACCGCCGCCUCGGGGAGCCGCCUUGGUACCCGUCAUCGCACGGGGGAAAACGCCCACACAGCGGUAAUUAAAUUACCCUUCUCUCCAUGCACGCGUGCUAAGUGUCCAGGUUUUUAGCCAUUUUUUUCAAGACCCAGCCAAGAAACAGCACGUGACAUCCCCUUUUCAUGUCCCGUGUCCCCUGUGCGUCCUACGCUUCGUGUUACAAAGAACUAAAAACGUCGGUCACCUUAUGGCACCAUGCAGGACCUGAGCGCCGUUAAGCAACUGCAGGGGAAAAGGUGUAGCAGUCACCACCUCC